AUGGGCGCAMGCCUGAUCCAGCCAUACCGCGUGGGUGAAGAAGGCCUUCGGGUUGUAAAGCCCUUUUGUUGGGAAAGAAAAGCAUUCGGUUAAUACCCGGGUGUUCUGACGGUACCCAAAGAAUAAGCACCGGCUAACUUCGUGCCAGCAGCCGCGGUAAUACGAAGGGUGCAAGCGUUACUCGGAAUUACUGGGCGUAAAGCGUGCGUAGGUGGUGGUUUAAGUCCGUUGUGAAAGCCCUGGGCUCAACCUGGGAAUUGCAGUGGAUACUGGAUCACUAGAGUGUGGUAGAGGAUAGUGGAAUUCCCGGUGUAGCAGUGAAAUGCGUAGAGAUCGGAAGGAACACCUGUGGCGAAGGCGACUAGCUGGGCCAACACUGACACUGAGGCACGAAAGC
rnacentral:rRNA from 1 species